rnacentral:rRNA from 1 species
AGUGAACGCUAGCGGUAGGCCUAACACAUGCAAGUCGAACGGCAGCACAGGAGAGCUUGCUCUCUGGGUGGCGAGUGGCGGACGGGUGAGGAAUACAUCGGAAUCUACUCUGUCGUGGGGGAUAACGUAGGGAAACUUACGCUUAUACCGCAUACGACCUACGGGUGAAAGCAGGGGAUCUUCGGACCUUGCGCGAUUGAAUGAGCAGAUGUCGGAUUAGCUAGUUGGCGGGGUAAAGGCCCACCAAGGCGACGAUCCGUAGCUGGUCUGAGAGGAUGAUCAGCCACACUGGAACUAAGACACGGUCCAGACUCCUACGGGAGGCAGCAGUGGGGAAUAUUGGACAAUGGGCGCAAGCCUGAUCCAGCCAUACCGCGUGGGUGAAGAAGGCCUUCGGGUUGUAAAGCCCUUUUGUUGGGAAAGAAAUCCAGCUGGCUAAUACCCGGUUGGGAUGACGGUACCCAAAGAAUAAGCACCGGCUAACUUCGUGCCAGCAGCCGCCGUAA